UUGCCAGACUCCUACGGGAGGCAGCAGUGAGGAAUAUUGGUCAAUGGGCGGGAGCCUGAACCAGCCAAGUCGCGUGAGGGAAGACGGUCCUACGGAUUGUAAACCUCUUUUGCCGGGGAGCAACGGGGUCCUUGCGAGGGCCCAAUGAGAGUACCCGGAGAAAAAGCAUCGGCUAACUCCGUGCCAGCAGCCGCGGUAAUACGGAGGAUGCGAGCGUUAUCCGGAUUUAUUGGGUUUAAAGGGUGCGCAGGCGGAAGAUCAAGUCAGGGGUAAAAUUGAGGGGCUCAACCUCUUCGAGCCGUUGAAACUGGUUUUCUUGAGUGAGCGAGAAGUAUGCGGAAUGCGUGGUGUAGCGGUGAAAUGCAUAGAUAUCACGCAGAACUCCGAUUGCGAAGGCAGCAUACCGGCGCCCAACUGACGCUGAAGCACGAAAGCGUGGGUAUCGAACAGGAUUAGAUACCCGUGUAA
rnacentral:rRNA from 1 species